rnacentral:piRNA from 1 species
GAAAAAGGAUGACUUGGAAGCAGGGCUGC